AUGAUGCCGCGGCGGGGGGCGGCGGGUCCUCGCCGCCGCCGGCGCCCGGCGCCCCUCAACGAGGACAACGGGCGGUUCCUGCUGCUGGCCGCCCUCAUCGCGGCGUACCUGAGCGCCGGCGCCACCGUCUUCUCGGCCCUCGAGAGCCCGUCGGAGGCGGCGGCGCAGCUGCGCUGGAACCGGACCCUGCACAACUUCAGCCGCAUCUUCAACAUCAGCCUGCCCGAGCUGCGCGCCUUCCUGCGGAGCUACGAGGCGGCCAUGGCCGCGGGCAUCCGCGUCGACGCCCUGCGGCCCCGCUGGGACUUCCCCGGAGCCUUCUACUUCGUGGGCACCGUCGUCUCCACCAUAGGUUUUGGAAUGACCACGCCAGCAACAGUGGCUGGGAAAGUAUUCCUCAUCGUUUACGGUCUAUUUGGGUGUGCUGGGACUAUCCUCUUCUUCAACCUCUUUCUGGAGCGCAUUAUCUCCCUCCUGGCAUUCAUCAUGAAGGCUUGCCAUGAAAGACAGCUGCGAAGAAGUGGUCUCCUACCUCCCAACUUCCGAAGAGGUUCAGCUAUGUCGGGGGUGGGCAGCCUCAUCGGCUGGAAGCCAUCUGUUUAUCACGUGAUGCUCAUUCUGGGAAUUUUUGCCAUCACGCUUUCCUGCUGUGCUUCUGCAAUGUACACAUUGGUGGAAGGGUGGAACUACGUUGACUCCUUGUACUAUUGUUUUGUCACCUUUAGCACCAUUGGCUUUGGAGAUUUGGUAAGCAGCCAAAAUGCUGUGUACCAAAAUCAGGGAUUAUACAGAUUCGGAAACUUCAUCUUUAUAUUAAUGGGGGUAUGUUGCAUAUACUCUCUUUUUAACGUCAUCUCAAUUGUAAUCAAGCAACUCUUGAACUGGGUGUUGAAAAAAUUCAGAUGCAGAUGUUGCCCAAAGUGCCAUAAGUCAGGUACCCGCCUUGGGCGUCGCAACGCCAUCACCCCAGGAGCCCGCCUGCGCCGGCACAAAAUCUCCCUGGAGGCUGAUGGGCAGUAUGACAGUGAUACAGAUGGCAGGAGGCUCUCUGGAGAGAUGAUUUCCAUGAGGGAGCUCACGGCGUCCAACAAGGUCUCUCUGGCUAUUUUGCAAAAGCAGCUGUAUGAGACAGCCAACGGCUACCCGAGGAACGUUUGUAUCAAUACAAGGCAGAACGGGUUCUCCGCAGGGGUGGGUGCUCUAGCCAUCAUGAACAACCGCUUGGCAGAAACCAGUGACUCUAGGUAGAGUUUUUGAAGUUCUUUUCAUUUCUUUGAUAAAAAUAAAAUGAUAAUUUCAGGUGGAAUUAUUGCUGCAAACGAUCAAAGUUUUAUGUUCAGAGCAGACUCAGUAUUCGUUGGGUGUUCGGCAGUUUGGUUUCUUGGGUUUUUAUGUCUUCUCCAAUAUGCAGUAACAUCUUGACUGCAAUGUCACAAUUUUCCCUGGGGGGGUUUUGUGAGGGACUUGGAUGUCUUUGAUGCGGAAUCUGAAGCGUUUUCAGAAGAAUGGUGUGUGAGGUUACAACGGUGUCAGAAUGGACAUCUUACACAGGAGAUAGCCUGAACUCUGGGUUUGAAUGCAUUCUGAGCAAGGUCAGUUCCAGAUUCAAAUUUGGAGGAUUAAGGGUUGUCUAAACCCGUAUCUCACUGUUUGUUGGAGUCUGGAUCUGGCCCUGAACUUUGCACUUGAUGCUCUUGCCAAUUCGUCAUACCGGGCCUGUAUAUAACAUACACGUAGGUGACUGCAGGUACACCAGCCUUAGGGUGACUGUGCUUCACUUGAAUAAUCCCGUUGACCUCAGCGGUAGAGGAUCAAAUUGACUGAACUCCCCUGACAACAAACAAUUCUUUUUCAGCCAGUCUUGUCGGAAACACCACGUGCUACCUAACUCUUAAAAGUCAGGAGAUUAUAAGUCAUAAGAAGCAUGUUGAAACAUGCACAGCUAUUCCUCCCUACAGAAUAACCUGAAAACAUGCAAGAGAAGCCAGCAUUCAUCUCUGGUGUCAAAUGUUUGCAUUUCCACUGAAAUACAAAGCAGACACCUGCAAUACCCAGACACAGACUGAAGCACAAGAAAUGAGAAGGAAGCUGAAGGAGCAAAAUGGGAAAAUGAAAGCACACUGCACUAGACUGCACUUUCUUUUCAGGUAACUUGGGAUUUGUACUACAGUCUUGAAUAGUUUUUUCUAGGUUCUAUUUUUGGACAGCCAAAAAGUUAGCUUAGAAUCAGAUAGUUCAUCUUAUAUUCACUCCUCUCAUUUUCCUGCUGCAUCACACUCAGACAGUUCCACUGCCUGAUGAGCAGCUGUACAGGCAGCAGAAACUCUAAUUAACAGGUGCCUGUACCCCAUGGCUAUAUUUGAGUGGUGGAUGUAUGGCCAAGGCCACUGGCUUGGUAUAAAUCUGAUGGCCUAUGGGAUGAAGUGAUAAUUACACAGAAAUGACCCACUGCAGUGAGAUCAUUCUUAACCUUUUUGUUUCUUUUUUCUAACUUUUUCUCUUAAAAAAUAGUGACUAAUUAUUUAUACAAUGAAUGUUCAACACUAAUUUAAACAAAGUCAUAUUUAGUGCAGUGCUGUUUGCUAGGGAGAUCUACAGAUGUGGCUUCUGCUCUCAUUGGAUUACUAAUGUUCCUUUCCAAAUCAACACACAUUUUCAAUAUCGUAUUUAAAUCAUACAGUAGAAGUUACCUUAUGUGGUAAAUUCAGUCAGGCACAAAUAUGUGACUCUUGCAGGAUAACUAAUGAAAUGUGCAGUGUGCACUGUACAACCCAUCUGCAAACCCUUCACCUCUGUACAUGUUGGGUUUGUUCCUUACAACCAUGGAAUGUUUUGGGUUGGAAGGGAUCAUACAGAUCACCUGGCUGCAGGCACCCUGCCUUGGGAAAGGACAGACCGUAUGGCUAUGGAUGCUUGGCGAUGUAGGAUGGGAAAGAAAAUAGCAAACGUACCUGCAUUGAUGUACACUGCCAUCUGUUGACUCCUUUUACUUCCAAAGCCCUGAGAUGGUCCCACUUGCAGUGCUCCUGCUGUAUGCAGAAGAAUGGGAAGUGUGGGGAAAGGGAGACAAUCAGAGGUAUUUUCCAAGUAAUGCAGGAGGAAAAAAAAGCAGUCUUCGCUUUUGGUACACAUGUGCAUCAUGUUCCAUCAAAAAACCACAGACAACACCACAGCUCGAAGUUGCUCCUGUUGCACCACAGGCUCAUGUGGACCAUCUCUGUGUGAGAUGCAGAGGAAAGGCAGAGGGCUGCAUGCUUACAUAUGCUACGCUCCAUCCAGCAGGCGAGCGCUGCAGGGCCAACCUGGGGAAGCUGACGACCAGGUGUACUGCUGGAAAGGCAGCCACGCCGUUCCAUGGCUCAGAUGAGCAACAUGUUAGGUACGCUGCAGGUCCUUAUUUCAACACCUUGGCUUCCCUUCAGUCCCAGCAUCUACACUGUGCUCAGGCAGGGGCCAGCCAGCCCCCAGCCUGCUCCAAGCGUGGGGCACGAGGACGGAGGACAUCAGUGGGUUCUGAGCUGUGCAGCAUCACAGCCCAAGUGCUUUCAGGAUCAGAUCAUCUAAGAAAUGUGAAUGAGAUGUUCCUGUGACCCCCUCACAUAUCACAAACUGUAAGGCAGCAAGUCGAUGCAAAAUGACUGCUUAUAAAAACACAAAAUCACCAGUAAUUCGGGCAAUGUGCAAUUCAAACACCAAGUGUGUUCUCAGUGCUUGUCAUCUCCUGAUGUUUCUAUUAGGGAAUCAGUUGUAGUCCCUGGAAGUAAAAUCCAUCUGGCUGUGGGCAAUAAUUCAUCUCAUUUCAUGGUAAAAUCCUCAGCAGCAAAAACCACUACAGCCAAAAAAUAUUUUGGACCAUUUUGUUGUGUAUGCACAUACUGUUUAUUUACCAGGAAAAAAAAAAAGCUGUCCCUUUACUUACACAGACACAAAACUUCAGCUUAUUGGGAGGUAUCUUUCUGCACACUCUGCAAAAGUAAUAGCUGCAAAUUUCAAGCCAAUACAAAAGGACUCAACUGUGAAAAGAACAUGUCUGCUCAAAGGUAUUCCUGUUUAAUUCUUAUUUUUACAGGCACACAGCUUCAUAGGUAUCUGUAACUGAGCUGCUGUUAUUAUUUGUUAUGGUGAACAUCAGAGGAACUUUGCUUCUGUUAAUUUCUCUGGGUUUGGUGUUUGCUGACUGCUGUGUUUCACUAUGUGAACUGGGGAAGGAAUGCCCAUCCACUCUGGUUUCCUGGUGGCAUCACUUACCCCUUUGCAUUCAUUGCAUACAUAAAUUCCUGUAGUUGGUUGAUGAGUACCGAUAUUUGUUCUCCUUGAAAUGAUGCUUCCCAGCAAAACAACACACUGAAAUAAGUUUGAAGAUUGAAGUCGGUUUAAAUGAUUGACAUUUUAAAAAUGAUUUAAUUCUGGGUUGACAUCCAGCACACCCAGUAAUUGUGAGUGCUUUUAUCACCCAGCUGAUUUUCAGUGUCAGCUCAGGAUUUUCCCAGGAUAAGAUCUCUGAGCACAGAGGACUAAAAGCCAUACUCAUCUCACUCUACUGGUAUGUUAUAUACAGCUUGCCACCAAACGGAGCAGACAUGUUUGGCUCCCUUCAUACAUGGUUAGAAAUGGCGCUGGGAUCGUUGCCGUGAAGCUCUUACAAAGACUCUUGAAAUAAACAGGAGAAAACAUUGCCUGGAGGACGUGUGUGAGUGUUCUUCUUUGUGGAGCCAAUGCUGAGGGUUCUGCUUCAGUUUCAUUCUCUUUUCUCACUCAGAGGUUGGUGAGGUCCUGGCACUGCUGCCCAGAGCUGUGGUGCC